UACCAGCACCCCGAGUGGUCGGGACGAUUAUUGGGCCUAAAGCAUCCGUAGCCGGUUUUACAAGUCCUCCGUUAAAUCCACCUGCUCAACAGAUGGGCUGCGGAAGAUACUAUGGAGCUAGGAGGCGGGAGAGGCAAGCGGUACUCGAUGGGUAGGGGUAAAAUCCGUUGAUCCAUUGAAGACCACCAGUGGCGAAGGCGGCUUGCCAGAACGCGCUCGACGGUGAGGGAUGAAAGCUGGGGGAGCAAACCGG
rnacentral:rRNA from 1 species